GGCAGAGAAGUGACAGUUCCGGGGGCCGGCGGGAGCUGCCGAGCCCGGAGGGGACGCCCCUUCCGGUCGCGCAUGCGCCCGGCCCUUGCCGGGGCUUUCCCGGUGCGGCAUUUCCCGGUCUGGGAGGUGCCGGCGGGGGCCCGUGUUUCCCUCCCCGCGCCCCUUGCUCAGCGCUCUAUAUAGGCUGGGGAGCGCAGCAGGGCCGCCUGCUGUGGGAGGCUCGGCUGCAGACCGUUUUGUUCUGCCCGAAAAUUCAAUGAUUGAAACUAUAGAUACUUAUAGUUUCUUCUUGUGAACACUCAGCAUAAACAUGGAGGCGUAGGCACCUUAAAGGGACAUCAGUCUGAACUCUGGGAGGUAGUUCUGUGCACUAAUAAAGAAACUAAGGCUUCAAAUUUUAUUUCUUUUUUGAUCUGAGGAUUCUGUUUGCUUCUGUAUGCCAUAAGCAUGGCAUACAGAAACAACUUAAUUCAGUGGCAUAAAGCAUUAGAAUGUCCUCACACAAAGCAAUUAAUUUAUCUUAAAUUUGAUAACUCUAUACUUGUAGCUAAGGCACCGGGUUAAAACUGAAAUGCUUUGCUUUCUGUGCUGACAGUGUUAUAAACAGAAAAGCCUGGGGUUAUUCCAGGCUUGUUAAUGGAGAGCUCAUGCAUCAGAGGCAGUGUAGAAGGUGUAUCUCACAGCUGAGUAGUCAAGAUAUGUGAAGCUGAGUAUAAACUAACUUCUUUAGUCUCAGCAACUAUUACAACAGUACAUGGAAGUUGAGGGUUGGGUUCUUUUUUGGUGGUUUGUUUUUUGUUGUUUUUUUUUCCUUUGAAGUCUAGUAGUAGCAAAUACUCCAGAUCAGUUCAGGGGCUCUUUUUUAUCUGCCAUUAGAGCUUGGUAAACCAUUAUUUUCAGCCUCCUAAUGAGGUAUGCAAACUAAAAUCUUUACAUGUCUAAGCUGUCUACGGUGAAACAGUUCUUAAAUCACUUAACACAUGUUUUAGUUAAAAAUGGUAUAGUUUUAGUUGCCCCCCAUUUUAGUUUCUUUAUUGACAAGGAUUUUGGUAAACCCAUUUGAGGUUUUCCCUGUCUGGAUCCCACCUCCACUAGCCUGACAAAUUGAUACUGCUUUCCCAGAUAUACAGUACAAGGAAAGCAUGUUAUGACUAGAAGUUACAAGGGAGAGUCCUUUUUGACAUGCUUUCUUCAAUUCCUAAAAUGGGAUAGGGCAGCUUUUGCACAGGUAGCAGUUGUAUAAACUAAAAUACAAAAACUUCCCAGAUGUUUAAAGGCUGUUAAUCAUGGGACUUACUCUGUUCACAUAUGCAUUCAAUGUUGCACAUUAUUUAAUUUUCAAGCAUUCUUUUGUACAGACAGGAGUUAUUCCAAAUUGCCUUUAGUGCACAUAACUACCUCCCAGAGGAAGACUUGUCCUAU
rnacentral:lncRNA from 1 species